rnacentral:rRNA from 1 species
GAUGAACGCUAGCGACGGGCUUAACACAUGCAAGUCGCGGGGCAGCAUGGGGGUUGCUUGCGAUCGCCUGUGGCGACCGGCGCACGGGGGAGUAACCCUUAGCCACCCUGCCCUUCACUCCGGGUUAACCCGUCGAAAGUCGGCCAAAUCCGGUUAGUUUUCCUUUGUCGCCUUCUGGGUUUGGCGAAGGGUUUGGCGCGGAGGGGGGUGGGGUUGCGUUCUUUCAGCUGGUUGGUGGUGGGACGGCCUCGCGGCGCGGUGCUGGGUAGGGGUUCUGAGAGGAAGGUCCCCCACAGUGGAACUGAGACACGGGCCAGACGCAUACGGGAGGCAGGAGUGAGGAAUAGUAGUCAAGGGGCGUAAGCCUGACCCAGCCAAGUAGCGUGCAGGAUGACGGCUCUAUGGGUUGUAAACUGCUGUUAUGCGGGGAUAAAGUGGUCGACGUGUGGGUUUUUGACGGUACCGGAUGAAUAAGGACCGGCUAAUUACGUG